CGACAAGUUAAUAUUAUGUCCAAGAGCUGC
rnacentral:piRNA from 1 species